AGUAGGGAAUUUUCGGCAAUGGGCGAAAGCCUGACCGAGCAAUGCCGCGUGAAUGAUGAAGGUCUUCGGAUCGUAAAGUUCUGUUGUUAGGGAAGAACGACAAGAGUAGGAAAUGGCUCUUGAGUGACGGUACCUAACCAGAAAGCUCCGGCUAACUACGUGCCAGCAGCCGCGGUAAUACGUAGGGAGCGAGCGUUAUCCGGAAUUAUUGGGCGUAAAGCGUGCGUAGGCGGUAUGUUAAGUCAAAUGUGAAAGCCCAGGGCUUAACCCUGGAGAGUCAUUUGAAACUGGCAUGCUUGAGUACGGCAGAGGUAAGUGGAAUUCAAUGUGUAGCGGUGGAAUGCGUAGAUAUAUUGAGGAACACCAGUGGCGAAGGCGGCUUACUGGACCGGAACUGACGCUGAGGCACGAAAGCGUGGGGAGCAAACAGGAUUAGAUACCCUGGUAGUCCACGCCGUAAACGAUGAGAACUAAGUGUUGGGGUUACCCAGUGCUGAAGUUAACGC
rnacentral:rRNA from 1 species